AACGAGGCUGCUGUCGCACACUUCACAUCCAAUUUCUAUCUAAAGGCUACUUCCGGCCCUGAUCGUCUGAGUUGAUGCUCUUCUCAUGGGCCUCCCUUAAACAUGCGUGCUUCAUGCCUCUUCCCUGUCGUGUAGGGUGAAGAAUAAAGGCUUGGAGAGGGAAGGGAACUUGCAGGACAAUAAAGACCAGCCUUGUCUUCCCGUGGCUAAGGAGUCAGUCCAAAGAUCAGCCGGUGCACAGACCCAGGAUUCAAAUAUUGGAUAAAGGAUCUGGGCUCAAACACAAGACUACAGUAUCAUAAAGUGCAACAUUUAUGACAGAAGAAGGAAGA